rnacentral:lncRNA from 1 species
AUGUUCCAAGCUCCCGAAAACUGCCUAGGACUGCCUGAUAUCAAGGAGGCGGUGGCACCCCCACCGCCUGGCAGGCCUGGCUCCGGGACGGGCUUCUCCGCGAGAGGCCGAGCUCGCCCCAGGGCGGGAAAGGAAGCCAGAAAGCUCGAGGCGCCAAGGACGGGAGCUUGGCGGGGGCGAUAGAGUCCGAGGCCGCGCAGCCGGCACCCGCCCGGAGCGCAAACGAAAGCGAC